rnacentral:rRNA from 1 species
UGAGGGGGGCUGCUCCUAGUACGAGAGGACCGGAGUGGACGCAUCACUGGUGUUCGGGUUGUCAUGCCAAUGGCAUUGCCCGGUAGCUAAAUGCGGGAGAGAUAAGUGCUGAAAGCAUCUAAGCACGAAACUUGCCCCGAGAUGAGUUCUCCCUGAGACUUAGAGUCUCCUGAAGGAACGUUGAAGACGACGACGUUGAUAGGCCGGGUGUGUAAGCGCAGCGAUGCGUUGAGCUAACCGGUACUAAUGAACCGUGAGGCUUAACCUUACAACGCCGAAGCUGUU